rnacentral:rRNA from 1 species
GACGAACGCUGGCGGCGUGCUUAACACAUGCAAGUCGAACGCUGAAGCUCAGCUUUUGUUGGGUGGAUGAGUGGCGAACGGGUGAGUAACACGUGAGUAACCUGCCCCCUUCUUUGGGAUAACGCCCGGAAACGGGUGCUAAUACUGGAUAUUCACUGGUCUUCGCAUGGGGGUUGGUGGAAAGGGUUUUUCUGGUGGGGGAUGGGCUCGCGGCCUAUCAGCUUGUUGGUGGGGUGAUGGCCUACCAAGGCUUUGACGGGUAGCCGGCCUGAGAGGGUGACCGGUCACAUUGGGACUGAGAUACGGCCCAGACUCCUACGGGAGGCAGCAGUGGGGAAUAUUGCACAAUGGGCGCAAGCCUGAUGCAGCGACGCCGCGUGAGGGAUGGAGGCCUUCGGGUUGUGAACCUCUUUCGCUCAUGGUCAAGUCGCAACAAUGGUUGUGGUGAGGGUAGUGGGUAAAGAAGCGCCGGCUAACUACGUG